UCGAUAGAGGCGCGGUUCUCAUGAGUACCGGUUUAUAGCCCGCAAGGGGCGUUGACGGGCCGGGAAAGGGAUAGCCGCCGAAGUGGAAAGCAGCUUGCGGGCUUUCUGCUGGGCAGACGGAAAACAUCCGUUUGACUGUCACAGUGACAUGAGUUCAUUGUGGAGCGCUAUUGU
rnacentral:ncRNA from 1 species